GCCUGGUUGGCUCAACGGUUGAGCGUCUGCCUUCGGCUCAGGGCAUAAUCCUGGGUCCGGGGGAUCAAAUCCCACAUCGGGCU
rnacentral:tRNA from 1 species